UACAGAGGGUGCGAGCGUUAAUCGGAAUUACUGGGCGUAAAGCGUGCGUAGACGGUUCUGUAAGUCGGAUGUGAAAUCCCCGGGCUCAACCUGGGAAUUGCAUUCGAGACUGCAAAGCUAGGGUGCGGAAGAGGGAAGCGGAAUUUCCGGUGUAGCGGUGAAAUGCGUAGAUAUCGGAAGGAACAUCAGUGGCGAAAGCGGCUUCCUGGUCCAGCACCGACGUUCAGGCACGAAAGCGUGGGGAGCAAAC
rnacentral:rRNA from 2 species